rnacentral:rRNA from 1 species
AGAGUUUGAUCCUGGCUCAGAAUCAACGCUGGCGGCGCGCUUAACACAUGCAAGUCGAGCGAGAAAGGGGGAGCAAUCCUCCGAGUACAGCGGCGCACGGGUGAGUAACACGUGGAUGAUCUGCCUUUGAGUGGGGAAUAACCCUGGGAAACCGGGGCUAAGACCGCAUACGCCUGGGAAGGGAAAGCGAGCAAUCGCGCUCAAAGAGGAGUCCGCGGCCGAUUAGCUAGUUGGUGAGGCAACGGCUCACCAAGGCGGGGAUCGGUAGCCGGCCUGAGAGGGCACACGGCCACACUGGCACUGAAACACGGGCCAGACUCCUACGGGAGGCAGCAGUGGGGAAUCUUGCACAAUGGAGGCAACUCUGAUGCAGCGACGCCGCGGGAGCGAAGAAGCCCUUCGGGGUGUAAAGCUCUUUCGGCCGGGACGAUAAUGACGGUACCGGCAGAAGAAGCUGCGGCUAACUACGUGCCAUCUCCCGCGGUAAUACGUAGGCAGCAAGCGUUGUUCGGAAUUACUGGGCGUAAAGAGUGUGUAGGCGGCGUCUUAAGUUCGGUGUGAAAUCUCCCGGCUCAACCGGGAGGGUGCGCCGGAAACUGGGAUGCUGGAGCGUGGGAGAGGAAAGCGGAAUUCCUGGUGUAGCGGUGAAAUGCGUAGAGAUCAGGAGGAACACCAGCGGUGUAGACAGCUUUCUGGACCAUGGCUGACGCUGAGACACGAAAGCGUGGGGAGCAAACAGGAUUAGAUACCCUGCUAGUCC